UUAGCGUGGGAAAAAACUUACUAAUCACGUCGCAGGGCACUCCUUCUUCUUGUUGGUGUUGAUGCUCCCGUUCCAUGUCAGAACUCCACUGCGACUUGAACAGUCCAGCAGCUUGCGGGCGGGAGAUCGAUCGCUCACCUACCAGAACCCUAAUGCACUCUGCCCUCCCGUGUCUCUCCUGCGAUUGCUCGGCACUGUUCCGCUUCUGUCUGGAUCAUGCCGCAUCUCUUGGCCUUGCUCAGAUUUAUCUGACGCGGUCACGACGCGGGGUUUUUCGAUUUGCGCUCUUCGUGAACCCUGAGGCGAGGGGAGGAGUAGAGUCGAGAUGAUUGUAUGUCUGGAGUGUUGACAUUGUGGAUCUCGAUGAAUGUCGUGGAGAUGAGGUAGUUGUGAGGCUCGAGGCCCGAGGGGAGAGUUGGAACUGUUGACAACGCAGCAGCUAGAGAUAAUGGGGGAGAUUCGGGAGAAAGCAUUGGUUCUUUUGAAUGAGGCUAAAAUGCAGGUGAAGUCUACCGACAGGGCUGAUGUUCUGAAUAGAAUGAUGGAGCUUGUGCUGCACGAAGAUCCAGUGUCGCUGCUUCCGGAGUUUGUACCUUACCUGUUGGAGUUUCAGGCAGACCCUGACAGUCCUGUUCGUGAGAAUGUGGCUAAGAUGAUUGAAGGGGUAGGUCUGCAUCAUAUUGAUUACGUCCACGUCGUAGCUCCUGCUCUACUAAUGCUGUUGCAAGAUACCUCACCAGCAGUUGUGAAGCGUGCAAUCACCAGUGGUAGCAGUAUUUUCCUGAAUGUUUUCGAACAGGUUGCUUUGCAGGGGGUAGAGCGCGAACUCGUUGAACAAGAUCUAUUGGAAUGCUGGAAUUGGAUGGACCGCUUCAAGGAGGCAGUAUUUUCCCUUGCAUCUCAGUUUACUGAGUUGCAGCCUGGGGAUGACGAAGUACGGGUAUUGGCUCUGAAAUUUGUGGAGGCUACAGUUCUGCUUUUCACGCCUAAUUCCAAGAGUCUGUCAGCUGAUCUGCUGACUUCUGAUGGCACAAAUGAAGAAUCUCUUGUGACAUGCUUAGAUGGAGGUCACUCAGUCUUAAAUGCCAGUAUAUUGAAGCAAGAAGCUUCUAAGAGUCUUGGAUUGCUGUUGAAUCAGUUACAAACUUCGGAAGCACCUCCCCUAUCUUGUUUGGUGGCGUUGUCAAUCAUGAACAGUUUGGCUGGAUUAGCGGAAAGAAGACCAUCCAUGUCACCUGCAAUCCUCUCAGUUUUAUUAUCUCUAGUACCAAAUUUCGACCUUAGUCUGGGGAGUCACAGUGAAAAUUUUAUUCAUGAGCUGAAUAACGCUUGUGUUGAUAUUUUGAAAUCCGACCAACCUUGUGUCUUGUCGUGGCGAGAACAAUUGGUUGCGGCAUUGAGGCCCAUGAAUGCUGAGGCAAAACGUGAUCAAACCAUCAAAGAACCUGGAAUCCCUUCAUCUGUGUCUACUUCUUCAGACGUCAAAGUUACCGGUUCCUCCUUUGUUUCGAGAACUGCACUUAAGCCUCGUAACUCUUCUGCUACCGUGACUGCGCCACUGCGACCUGCGUCUCCCUUGACACGGAUUAGAACCUCGUCUACAUCUACUACCGUAACCGCUCCGCCACGAAAUCCCUCUCCAGGGAGACAGCUAAGAAUGCCGUCAGCUGCUGCCCCCGUAACUGGUCCACCACGAACUGCAUCUCCUUUGAAGCAAACUAGGACCCCGUCAAAUAGUACUUCUAACGUGGCUGCUCCUCCACGAACUGCGUCUCCAGCGAGACAGAUUAGGUCCUCGUCUGCUGCUACUGGUGACAAAGGCCCACCACGUACUGCAUCUCCUGCGAGGCAAAGUAGGACCUCAUCUACCUCAGCAACCGUAACUGCUCCACCAAGAACCGCAUCUCCUUCGAGACAACCAAAGACCUCUUCGGCUGUCACUUCUGUGACGGCUUCGCUGCGGCCGGCAUCUCCCUCGAGACAGACUGUCAAGACUCCCGGUUCCCUCCCUCAGAAUGGGCUCUCUAGCGCGAAGGGACUCAGGGGUACGUCUCCAGCGAGACCCAGAUCUGGUGGUGUGGACAGCGGGGUUACUAAAGUUUCUCCUCGUGCUAGUACAGGUGUUGAGGAUCCCAAGUCGUCAACCGUCGCUGUCUCGUCUUCUUCAACGUCUACGAGGACUUCUGCCAAGCCUGCCCUCACGUCGCUGAAAGUAUCACCUCGACCGUCCCCUUCCUCUUCUCCUCGUGCUGUUCCAAAUGUGGAGAACCCCAGGUCCUCUGGUGUUAUUGUGCCAUUUCCACUUACUGUUGUGAAGUCUUUACCCAAGCCCUCUGCUACCUCUGUCAAAGUGUCUCCCCGCCCACCGUCCCCUUCUAUGAAAUCAGCACCUCGCUCAGCAUCUCCCGCAGCGAAGUCAUCUGCCCGACCAGCAUCACCUUCUGUGAAAUCUGCACCUCGAGCAGCGUCUCCUUCAUCUCGUGUCACGGCUGGAGCUUCCCCCCGAACGACGACUGGAAGUGUAACAAGUCGUCCUGCAUCUCCGUCUCCAGCUGCACGGAAAGGUGUGGCAUCUUCUGGAAAUCUGCUUCCAUCUCCAUCCCCACGAGCUUCUGAAAACAAGUCGUCGCAGAUUUCUACUCCCAAUGUUUCAGUUUCUGUCCCAGAUUCAUCAAAAGUUGGUUCUAUCAAUGGAAAGCCUUCUCUUUCCAACCACCUACCAGCAGCGUCUUCGAGCCUUGCAGCCCCAGGACGGAGUAAGGCGUCUCCUAGUGCGAUCCCUUCGUUGAAGACAAAAGUUGGUUCUCUCCUUCCUUCGAUACGGAAGAGUUCACAAUCGCCAUCUUGUGAGAGCUCGCAUAAUCUAUCAUCUAGCAGGAGUGAUCCCAAUCCGGAUGCAUCUACCGAAUCGGUAACGAGGAGUGUGGUGCAGGAGGUUCCUACUCAGAGGUUAAGAAUUGCAAGCUUCAAACGAAAUGGUUCAGGACCAUCGAAGGCAACAGAGAUAGUCUCACCUGAAGUUAUUCCGGCCAACCCAAUUACUAUGAAUACGAAAAAACGCUGUGGGUGGAUCACUUCUCAAAGUGAUGAAGUUCAUAUUGCUUACCAUGACAAUGAGUGGGGCAUUCCAAUCUAUGAUGACAAACUUCUCUUUGAAUUGAUUGUGCUGCAAGGGGCACAGGCUGAGUUGAGCUGGCCUACCAUUCUCGCCAGGCGGAAUAACUUCAGGGCCGCAUUUGCGAAUUUCGACCCAGCGAUUGUCGCCAAGUUCGAUGAGAAGAAGAAACUAUCAUUGAUAGCAGACUCAUCCAUCUGCUUCCCAGAAGCUAAAGUGAGAGGGGCUGUUGAUAAUGCAUCACAUGUUCUUAAGAUCAUUGAAGACUAUGGUUCAUUGAGCAAGUUUCUGUGGAGUUACGUCAACCAUAAGCCGAUUUCAAGUCAAUAUAAAUUGGCCAAACAAGUGCCUGUUAAGACGCCCAAGUCUGAGGCGUUGAGUAAGGAACUACUACGAAGAGGAUUCAGGUUCGUGGGUCCGACAACAAUGUAUUCAGUGAUGCAGGCAGCAGGUCUGGUAUGUGACCAUAUAGUCACAUGCUACAAAUAUCAGGAGACUUCUGCUGAAAACUCUCCAGUAACUGAUCUGGUUAUGGAAGGGGAGAAAGCUACAGAUCCAUGGCAGCGCAUUUCUCUGCCAGCCGAUGUGUAUUCUCUCGAAUUCAGGAGAGCGUCAGCCAAUGCUAGUGAUCCUGUCUGGGCAGAGCUCCCAAUAAUCGAGGAGGCUAAAGAAGAAGAAUUAGAGAAAAAUUCUGAAGACGAAGAGUUAAAUGAUGACAUUUCGUCGUCAUCAAAGAGUGGAAUACCAGUUUGCUGACCCAAGAGGUGAAACGGCGCUCAUCACAUGAAUCGGGAUUUACAUUCAUUAUUUUCUCGUCUUACAAGAAGCGCUUUCCCAUCACACUCAAUCGCACCUGGGCUAGCAGACUCUCUGGACCUGAUGCUAAUCAUUUAACUGCAUCAGUUCCCUCCCACCAUCCUCUCAGGCCCGACUCUUGGAGCUAAUGUGGGCGAUUUGUAUUGAACUCCUGGUUCUUCCCAGAAAUAGGUGGACAUGUACGAUACUCGGCUAUUCUACAAAAAAAAAAUUGCAGCCUAAUGGCUAUACCGUUGAUCACUCCUGAUGCACUGAUUCUCAAUGCGAAUGUCUCACACAUUCAUCAGAUUUCCAUCGACUAUCAAGAUGAAGUCUGCUAUCUAUCGUUGGUGGAAUAUAUUCUGCUGCAUGAAGCUUUCUUGAGUUUCCAGCAGCAUUGACGGAUUCCUCUUGAACAGAAAACAUGUAUUUUUAGGUUUAAUACCUUCCUACUUGUACACCUAUUUCUUUAAUCUGCACUAUAUUUUCAUCCCUUAAGAUCCUGUAUGCACUAUGCAGAUCACAAGUCUUGCUUAGGGCGCUUAUUCACCUGUGACAUCGCUAGCCUCAUUCCUACUCUCUAACUUUGUCUAAAUUCUUGAACCUCUACUGUACAAUACUUUGUUAAAUUGCAGCAGCUGAGGACACGACGUAUUCUUCAACUCAAAGUUUGGUAGGGAGGAACGAGAGACAGGAACCUGCAAUGAUUGUCACCGAUGAAUUUGGCUGCACGCCUCUAGUCGACUGGCCCCUGAUAUAGUUGGCAUUUCCUUAUUACCCCGAAGGGAUCUGAAACAAGCAGUAUUAUGUUCUAUUAUGGUAAUCCUAAAGUCAGUUGAUAAUGAAACCAAACGUUGGAAAUUGGAAAAUUUUA